CACUAAGCCGUGAACCACUGAACCCAUAAGCCAGCUCUUCACUAUGACCGAACAGGACCUCCAUGGCCGAACCUUCCCCUCGUGAACCUUCACAGAGACUACCGACACUCUUCCAUGUUUGCGCAGGUACUGAAGAUUAUGGAAUGGAUUAACUGCUAGCUUAAGAGAUUUAUAGCUGUGUAGUUAGGAUUUUAGUACUUUGUACUCAUAGAUGUUUGUACUAUUUGCUUGUAAUAUGUCUAGACAUUUACUUGUAAUUAAUAAGUUCCAUGCAGGCUUUAGUGUCAUAUGUGACACAUGUUUCUUUGUAAAUAGUGUAAAGAUUUUUAAUGUAUUUUCUAGAAGAUGUCAGUUAAAGCUCUGAAUAUAUCGUAA